rnacentral:rRNA from 1 species
CGGGAGGCAGCAGUGGGGAAUAUUGCACAAUGGGCGCAAGCCUGAUGCAGCCAUGCCGCGUGUAUGAAGAAGGCCUUAGGGUUGUAAAGUACUUUCAGCGGGGAGGAAGGUGUUGUGGUUAAUAACCACAGCAAUUGACGUUACCCGCAGAAGAAGCACCGGCUAACUCCGUGCCAGCAGCCGCGGUAAUACGGAGGGUGCAAGC